UAAGCUGGUUAUUUGAUGUUAAAUGGUUACUUAUCUUUUUAUUGAAAGCUCCUGUUGAACACUGAUUUGCUCAAUUUUUGUCUAAUUUCAUUAAGGUCUUGCCAGCCAGAAGACAGGAGCCAACCAGACAGGAGCCAGCCAGACAGGAGGAGGUGUACCCUGUUGUUCAUAAAUAUGGUAGGUUAGACGUCAGAGCAAUCAGCCUAUAAUUUCCUGCUAUUGCAGAAUCUUUCCCUGGUUUGGGAAUAGGGAUUACGACGGUUUGUUUCCAGAAUAAAGAUUAUCUGUGCUUUUUGAAAGGUGAAGGCUAACAGCUUUUUCAGCUUUUUCUACUUCAGUAACUGCUGUUUUCCCUUCAUUUGCUAAAACUGCAAUAUUCUGAGUUCUGUAAACACCAACCAUCUUAUUAAGGACACUCCAUACAUCUCCCAGCUGAGUUUCCCUUCCUAUUGUGGAGCAGUACCAGAUUUAAGACACAUGAGAGAAAGCCCGUGGGUAAGUUCACAGCCUGUUACCAGAACACACGUACAUCUCAUCUGAUGUAUGCAGAUGGAUUGAGAUUGAGAAAUGACUGUUACAGUAAGAGCCAGAUUUACUUUAGAAGGCCCUUUUUUAAAAAACCUAUAACUUCAAAUAAGAAACAUCUUCAUCAUUUGUUAAAAAAGCCAAUGAUGAUUUGACUCUCAUUUAUAUAGAGAUGACACUUGUGCUGACAAUCAGCCAUUGUUUGCAGUGUUUGUUUGAGCUGUUAGUGCCACAGUGUAAAAGGAUUGUUGCGUCACCCCUGAACUAUCUUCUUGAGAAAAAGCUUUGAAACUCAUCUCCGGGAAAGGUCAUCUCCAGGUUUGUACAUGUUUUAUUUCAUCUCGUUUAGACUAAUGUAAUGUUGGUGUCAGCCAGGCCUCUCUCUCACGCUUGCGGUUAGUGCAGAAUGCUGCAGCUCGACAUUUAACAUGAACACGUAAACAGGAACAUAUUUCCCAUCAAAUCUGUGUGUACGCACGCUUUAUAAAUGAGUCCCCUGGACACAGGAGCAGCUUCUUCCCACAGGCCAUUUCCCUCCUGAACAGUUAUAAGCCUCCCAAGUCACAUACCUGCAAGUGCAACACUCCCACUGUUGAUAUUUAAUCAUAUUAUUCACAAUACUGUAAAUAUGUUCAUAAUCGGUAAAUAUGUAUAUUAUGACUAAGACUAAGCCUAACUGUGUCCUUAUGCUUUUUAUAUUCUUUAUUUUUUUUAUUCUUAAAUGUUAUGUUUCUUGUUGUUGUGUUUGCAUGUGUGCACUAAAAGCUUCAGUACCAAGGUAAAUUCCCUGUGUGUGCAAACACACUUGACAUUAAAGCUCUUUCUGAUUCUGAACAGGUCGUGACAGAAGGGACAUGUUCGUGUUCAUUUAUGUGGAACGAGGAAGGCAUUAUGCAAAUAUAUUUUAUUGUUGAGACACGUUAAUUUUAAUUGUGUCCUUUAACCCUCUGGGCUUUACAUUGUUUUCUGGAAGUGUUGUUGUCACCGGGAGUGUUUUGACAUGCCCUGACAUCUCUGCUUAUUUCUGUUACGUGUAACAUUUUCAUGGCUAAAGUCUGAUUACGCUGUAUUCAGCACAAACUCUGCAUGUAUGUAAAAAUUUGUAGUUUUGAGAAAAUUAUGUUUAUAAGCGGUUUGUGAAAAAAAAAGUCACUGAAGGCCAUAAAAUGCGAUUAAUUCAAAUCCUUAACGCGUUAAAAUAAUUCAUGUGAAAUUGUGUCAUAACGUAAUUUAUAUCACGUUUCACUUUAAAACAUGAACUCUCUGUCACAUUCUCUCAUUGUAUCUGAAGAGCGCGAGACCCCCUGCAUCGCACUGUUCCCGUUUGAACGGAACGUCGAAACAUCCCACCGCUGUGUGGCCAGAUGAUAUGAAAACUAUGUUGUUGUGUUUUUUUUGCUGGAUAAAGCAAACCAGCUUCUCGCUAUGAAAGUUUAGAUGGAUGAGGAUUGCAAUCAAAGUAAAGACGAUUGUGUGAUGUACAGGAGUCAUACAUUAAGUGUGAGUGAGUAUGUUAUAUUGAUGAGCAAACAAAUCACAUGAGCGCUCUCGACGCGCUGAUCGCUUGUCUUUUCACAGGUGUUCACAUCUGAGGUCUUCUUAAGAGGCUGGAUCCAAACUGAAGCUGAUGUACUCUCUAGUCACCUUAGGAGGGGCAUCCCAAGAUAAAACAGAAAAGCAAAUGGAGAAUAAUUUGUGUAGCUGCUGUUCAUAAGGUUCUGAGACCAUAUGGGGUGAAGGUGAAGACAGAACCAAACUAAAGCUGGACUGUAACCUACUGGAGUCAAGUCAAAUCACCUUUAUUUAUAUAGCGCUUUUUACAAUGCAGAUUGUGUCAAAGCAGCUUUACAUUGAUAACUGGUACAUUAUUUUGGCUGCACAGCAGCUCUUAAAGAAUAGUGUCAAU